UGUACCCGCUGAACUUAAGCAUAUCAAUAAGCGGAGGAAAAGAAACCAACAGGGAUUGCCCUAGUAACGGCGAGUGAAGCGGCAACAGCUCGAAUUUGAAAUCUGGCUCCCUUUGGGGGUCCGAGUUGUAAUCUACAGAGGAUGCUUCGGGUGAGGCGCCUACCGAGUUCCCUGGAACGGGACGCCAUAGAGGGUGAGAGCCCCGUAUGGUGGGAGGCCGAGCCUGUGUGAAGCUCCUUCAACGAGUCGAGUAGCUUGGGAAUGCUGCUCUAAAUGGGAGGUAGACUUCUUCUAAAGCUAAAUACUGGCUAGAGACCGAUAGCGCACAAGUAGAGUGAUCGAAAGAUGAAAAGCACUUUGAAAAGAGGGUCAAACAGUACGUGAAAUUGUUGAAAGGGAAGCGCCUAUGGCCAGACUUGCGCCGGGCCGAUCAUCUAGCGGUUUCCGCUGGUGCACUCGGCCCGCUGCAGGCCAGCGUCGGCUGUCUGUCGGGGGGAUAAAAGCACCGGGAAUGUAGCUCCUCUCGGGGAGUGUUAUAGCCCUCUGCAGAAUACCCCCGCGGCGGCCGAGGUCCGCGCCCUUGUGGCAAGGACGCUGGCAUAAUGGCCAUCAGCGACCCGUCUUGAAACACGGACCAAGGAGUCGAGGUUUUGCGCGAGUGUUCGGGUGUUAAGCCCCAACGCGCAAUGAAAGUGAAUGCAGGUGGGAGCCUUCGGGCGCACCAUCGACCGAUCCUGAUGUCUUCGGAUGGAUUUGAGUAAGAGCGUAAAGCCUCGGACCCGAAAGAUGGUGAACUAUGCCUGUAUAGGGUGAAGCCAGAGGAAACUCUGGUGGAGGCUCGCAGCGGUUCUGACGUGCAAAUCGAUCGUCAAAUAUGGGCAUGGGGGCGAAAGACUAAUCGAACCAUCUAGUAGCUGGUUACCGCCGAAGUUUCCCUCAGGAUAGCAGUGUUGAAUUUCUCAGUUUUAUGAGGUAAAGCGAAUGAUUAGGGACUCGGGGGCGCUUUUAAGCCUUCAUCCAUUCUCAAACUUUAAAUAUGUAAGAAGCCCCCGUUGCUUCGGUGAACGGGGGCCUUCGAAUGUACCAACACUAGUGGGCCAUUUUUGGUAAGCAGAACUG
rnacentral:rRNA from 1 species